UACGGAGGAUGCGAGCGUUAUCCGGAUUUAUUGGGUUUAAAGGGUGCGUAGGCGGACGCUUAAGUCAGCGGUAAAAUUGCGGGGCUCAACCUCGUCGAGCCGUUGAAACUGGGUGUCUUGAGUGGGCGAGAAGUACGCGGAAUGCGUGGUGUAGCGGUGAAAUGCAUAGAUAUCACGCGGAACUCCGAUUGCGAAGGCAGCGUACCGGCGCCCAACUGACGCUGAAGCACGAAGGCGUGGGUAUCGAACAGG
rnacentral:rRNA from 1 species